UACAUGGGGUGCAAACGUUGCUCGGAAUUAUUGGGCGUAAAGCGCACGUAGGCGGUUUGUUAAGUCAGAUGUGUAAUCCCUCGGCUCAACUGAGGAAGUGCAUCCGAAACUGGCAGGCUUGAGUACUAAAGAGGGUCGCGGAAUUCCCGGUGUAGAGGUGAAAUUCGUAGAUAUCGGGAGGAACACCGGUGGCGAAGGCGGCGACCUGGGUAGAUACUGACGCUGAGGUGCGAAAGCGUGGGGAGCAAACAGG
rnacentral:rRNA from 1 species